rnacentral:rRNA from 1 species
CAGUAGCCGCGGGAAUACGUAGGUGGCAAGCGUUGUCCGGAUUUAUUGGGCGUAAAGCGAGCGCAGGCGGUUAGAUAAGUCUGAAGUUAAAGGCUGUGGCUUAACCAUAGUACGCUUUGGAAACUGUUUAACUUGAGUGCAAGAGGGGAGAGUGGAAUUCCAUGUGUAGCGGUGAAAUGCGUAGAUAUAUGGAGGAACACCGGUGGCGAAAGCGGCUCUCUGGCUUGUAACUGACGCUGAGGCUCGAAAGCGUGGGGAGCAAACAGGAUUAGAUACCCCGGUAGUCCCUGUCUCUUAUACA